UUACCUUUGCUAAUUAUCCACCACAAAAAGCAAAGCAUUUUGAUAUGGCUUCAAAACCUUUGUCCUUUUUUCUCAUUCUCACAAUGGUUGGAUUUUUUUUUUGGCUAAAGGUUGAAGGACGGAAUGUUAGCUUUUUGCCUAGCAAGAAAGAUGAGGAUUGUGGUGAGGUUUGCGGUGUGUCAUUCACCCAUCUUUGGUUGCAGUUACUGAAAUUAACAGGGACAGAAAUUAAGAAGAAAAUUUGAUGUAAAAGUUUGGUUGGUUGCAUAAUAUAUUGUAACAUGAUUCCUUGUUUUCCGAUCCAUUUCAUGUAACUUAGUAGAAGGCAUUAAUCUAUUAUACAAAAAACAUACUGGUCCUACUUUUAAA